rnacentral:rRNA from 1 species
UACGUAGGUGGCAAGCGUUGUCCGGAUUUACUGGGCGUAAAGAGCGCGCAGGCGGUCGUUCAAGUCGCGUGUGAAAGCCCCCGGCUCAACUGGGGAGGGUCACGCGAUACUGAUCGACUCGAAGGCAGGAGAGGGUAGUGGAAUUCCCGGUGUAGUGGUGAAAUGCGUAGAUAUCGGGAGGAACACCAGUGGCGAAGGCGGUUGCCUGGGGCUUUGCUGACGCUGAUGCGCGAAAGCGUGGGGAGCGAUCCGG